rnacentral:rRNA from 1 species
AAACGUAGGGGGGCGAGCGUUGUCCGGAAUUACUGGGCGUAAAGCGCGCGCAGGCGGUCCUUUAAGUCUGAUGUGAAAUUCCGCGGCUCAACCGCGGGUGUGCAUUGGAAACUGGGGGGACUUGAGUGCGGAAGAGGGGAGCGGAAUUCCCGGUGUAGCGGUGAAAUGCGUAGAGAUGUGGAGGAACACCAGUGGCGAAGGCGGCUUUUUGGUCUGUAACUGACGCUGAGGCGCGAAAGCGUGGGGAGCAAACAGG